rnacentral:rRNA from 1 species
CCCUUAGAUGUCCGGGGCUGCACGCGCGCUACACUGAAGGAAUCAGCGUGCUAAAACCAUUGUCGAAAGGCAUUGGUAAACCCAUUAAAAUCCUACGUGAUUGGGAUCGGGAAUUGCAAUUAUUUCCCUUGAACGAGGAAUUCCCAGUAAGUGUGGGUCAUAAGCUCGCGUUGAUUACGUCCCUGCCCUUUGUACACACCGCCCGUCGCUGCCCGGGACUGAGCCGUUUCGAGAAAAGCGGGGACUGCUGCUGUCGGGGCUUUCGGGCCUUGGCUUCGGUGGAAACCGCUUUAAUCGCAGUGGCUUGAACCGGGUAAAAGUCGUAACA